UCGUGUGUUUUCUGUUAUUGCCGACGAAAACGAAAAGAACGCGGAGCUGAGGCUCGCAGAGUGAGAUGCGCGGGCGUCCGCAGAAGUCGCCCCCGCCCGCCCCGGCGCUGACACCCGACGCUGCGCCCCCACGGCGGUUGUAGCGGCCGUGCAGCGCGGACGGCGCUGACUGGGGAGGGUCUUAGUCAGUUAGUACGUCAAACGCCCGUCGCCGUGGACUGCAAGCAGCAUUCCUAACGAGCCCCGCUCUCCAGAUGGAGUGAUGUCGUCCGUAGCGCAAUGUCGGAGAAACGCGCUCAGGAUGGCGACGACCGCCCCCAGCCCCGCCUGGCCCCUGCCGCGGGGCGCCGCCCUC